rnacentral:rRNA from 1 species
UACAGAGGGUGCGAGCGUUAAUCGGAAUUACUGGGCGUAAAGCGUGCGUAGACGGUUAUUUAAGUCGGGUGUGAAAGCCCCGGGCUCAACCUGGGAAUUGCAUUCGAGACUGAAUAGCUAGGGUACGGUAGAGGGAAGUGGAAUUUCCGGUGUAGCGGUGAAAUGCGUAGAGAUCGGGAGGAACACCAGUGGCGAAGGCGACUACCUGGACCAGCACUGACACUGAGGCACGAAAGCGUGGGGAGCAAACAGGG